AUCAUUGGGGAACGCUCAUGCUCCCGGAGAAUUGUUUUAAGUACCGUAGCGUGAUAGAUUCUGAAACCCAACAGCAACAGGCUCCGAUAUUGAGUACAUAAUAAUAUCACGUUGUCGCCUAAAAUUUCCAAGGGAGUGUAGAAGCCAUUGCUUUAAGAACCGAAGAGCCUUUUUCUGAAGCGCAUAAGAGCUCUUUGUUUGAUUUCUAACUAGUGCAAUAGGACCAUAAUUAAAGCGAACGAGCCGAAGGACAAAUCGGGUCACAUUUCAAGGCAUUUGCUUGCCAUAGAUCUACCAAACCUAGCAACCAAAGUGUGCAACAAGCUUGAUCCAAGAGCAAGGGUCCAACGUCCAAGCGAUAAGGAUGUCAGGCCAAGAUAUGCGCUAGCCAUUAAUCUCUUUAGCCACACCAUAAACAAG
rnacentral:misc_RNA from 1 species